rnacentral:rRNA from 1 species
UACGAAGGGGGCUAGCGUUGCUCGGAAUCACUGGGCGUAAAGCGCACGUAGGCGGCUUUCUAAGUCAGGUGUGAAAUCCUGGAGCUCAACUCCAGAACUGCCUUUGAUACUGGAGAGCUUGAGUCCGGGAGAGGUGAGUGGAACUCCGAGUGUAGAGGUGAAAUUCGUAGAUAUUCGGAAGAACACCAGUGGCGAAGGCGGCUCACUGGCCCGGUACUGACGCUGAUGUGCGAAAGCGUGGGGAGCAAACAGG